CUCCCCCCAUCUUCCCAGCUCUGCUUUGUCUGCCUCCGGAGAUGGCUCUCCGCUGGUGGCCUCGAGAGCUAUGGCUCUGCUGCGGUCAGCGUCUCUUCUGUGUGUCUCCUAUCCCCCUGGACGUCCCUUUAACCCCAACAGAGACCACUACCCUAAGACUCCGGCGAACUCCUACCCAUCCCUCAGGACCCGGCUGAAAUGAUCCCUUGUGUGUAACAGUUUCCCUGACCUCUGUGUCCCUGACACAGAUACGAGGACUUGCCAUUUUGUGUUAAAGUUAUUGAAGAGUU